UUGUUUUCCAUUCGUGCUUCAAGUGUGCAUAAGCUCGUUUUUAACUAUUAAAAAAAUGUGGUCUAUUAAGAGGUCCUCUUUUCUUCUUAGCACUGUCGCAAUAUUUUUAAUCAUUGCAAGCCAGUGUACUUUUCCUCUUAUUUGUCUACAAAAAAAGGCUUAACUUUGCGAGCCUUCUUUUAAAUGGCUGUCUAACAUAAUUUAGGAUCACAAUGAGAAACUGUUAAAUAUAAACAAUAAAUGAGUUUACUGCUUUCUUUUGGCAA